UGAAAACAGGUGAGGUCCUCAUUGUCCCAUUUGCUGUAUCUAUCCCUAGAAAGGGCUACUUUUUGGGAAGUGUCUUUGAGAGCCUUUAUCAGCAGGGUAAAGGUACCUGCGGCAGCUGCUUUGCAGGUCCCCUGCUGUGCAAAUCGCCCUUCACAGAGGAAGAUCUUCCUGUCAGUGACUGACAAGAGGUGCCAGGAGCAGGCUACCAGACUUUUGAAACCUGAACUGUGUUUACAACAACUUUAAACAAGGAGAAAAUA